UCAUCAUAUCCAAUCUAAAUCGUCAAGUUCUUGACGAUUCACAACGGACUCAGUCAUGAAUACCUUCUCCUCAGGAACUCGGUUGAGUUGCUUCAAUGAUGCUGAGGAUGAAGGAGGUGGUGUUCUAGGGACAACAUGCUAGAAUGGAACAAGUCUUGAGCUUGUAAGCGUUCUAGAGGCAUCUCCUGCUCACUUGGAAAUCGCAUCAUCAACCUCUGGAGAGGUUGCUGUUGUGUUUCGUAAAUCCCUGAGGCUUACACAUGAGGGUCGCAGAAAGUUUGCAUCUGGGAAAAUAACCAACUUGAUGACAACGGAUGCUGAAGCACUACUGGCAUGUUCUCUUCUUGCUGC